CAAGAUGUAGCUAAGACAGUUAAAGCACCUCCCUUACACCGAGGAGACACCCGUGCAAUUCGAGUCGUCUUGA
rnacentral:tRNA from 1 species